rnacentral:rRNA from 1 species
UACGUACGAGGCGAGCGUUAUCCGGAAUUAUUGGGCGUAAAGCGCGCGCAGGCGGUCCUUUAAGUCUGAUGUGAAAGCCCACGGCUCAACCGUGGAGGGUCAUUGGAAACUGGGGGACUUGAGUGCAGAAGAGGAAAGCGGAAUUCCACGUGUAGCGGUGAAAUGCGUAGAGAUGUGGAGGAACACCAGUGGCGAAGGCGGCUUUCUGGUCUGUAACUGACGCUGAGGCGCGAAAGCGUGGGGAGCAAACAGG